rnacentral:rRNA from 1 species
CCUACGGGAGGCAGCAGUGGGGAAUUUUGGACAAUGGGCGAAAGCCUGAUCCAGCCAUUCCGCGUGCAGGAUGAAGGCCCUCGGGUUGUAAACUGCUUUUGUACAGAACGAAAAGGUUUCUAUUAAUACUAGGAGCUCAUGACGGUACUGUAAGAAUAAGCACCGGCUAACUACGUGCCAGCAGCCGCGGUAAUACGUAGGGUGCAAGCGUUAAUCGGAAUUACUGGGCGUAAAGCGUGCGCAGGCGGUUAUAUAAGUCAGAUGUGAAAUCCCCGGGCUCAACCUGGGAACUGCAUUUGAGACUGUAUAGCUAGAGUACGGUAGAGGGGGAUGGAAUUCCGCGUGUAGCAGUGAAAUGCGUAGAUAUGCGGAGGAACACCGAUGGCGAAGGCAAUCCCCUGGACCUGUACUGACGCUCAUGCACGAAAGCGUGGGGAGCAAACAGGAUUAGAUACCCUGGUAGUCCACGCCCUAAACGAUGUCAACUGGUUNUUGGGUCUUAACUGACUCAGUAACGAAGCUAAUGNGNGAGUAGACGCCGNGGGUAAGGUACGGCCGCGAGUUAGUUAAACGUUACGAAGGAAGUUAGACGGCGUUGAGACGNGCGACGGACGACGACGAGGGAGGAGG